GUCAUGUCAUACCCGUUCUCUCUCUUGUCCAGAUGAAGAGACCUUCCAGAAUCCUUUGCAGUAGUACUAGGUUUCAUCCAAGGUUGGGCAAUGUGAUAUAAGAAGGUGGCCCAUGCAUAUAAAGGCACUUCUGAAUGGAGAUGGUUUGCUCUCCUUUCUGUUGCCCGAGAUGCAGAGACGGCUUUGAAUCAUGUUGCCAUUUUGGGACCAUAUGCACCAGGAUGAUAGAGUCAUCGGAAAGGAUACCGUAAGGAUGAAACUGAGGGGUGAUGCUUAUUUCUGGAAAUCAUGAAGAGAUCUAUAUAUGUUUAUCUUCUUCAGGACUCUGUCAUUUCUGUCUCUGUGACCACAGGUGACCUCUAUUCUACACAAGUAGUUCUCAAAGUGAGAGCCACCAAUGGGGAAUCUCUGACCCAUUUUUUGCAGAGCCCACAAGACCAAGACUGUUUUCAUAAGCAUGCUAGAACUUUGUUUCCCCUUCUACUCUCAUUCAUUUACCAGUGGGGAGUUAAGAUUUCCAGAGAUGACAAAUGACUCGGUCAUACCACAGCAGACCGACUGCAAGCAGACACAGAUACAGCAUUUCCUAUGAAUUCAGGUACUAAAAAGUAUUGUAGAGGUACAAAGCAAUGUGACUCCUCUCAAUAAAAUUGUUUUUGAAGGCAAUUAUUUCAAGUUUUUUUUGUUUUGUUAUGCUCUGUGUACAUAUAUGUGUGUCUGUGGUCCAGCUUUGUGUGGCGCUCAGGACUGGGGAGGAGAGAGGCUGUUAAUGAACAGGGGAACUUGGUACUCCUCAGCACAAUAGUGGGUUACAUGGCACAAAGAUAAAACAGAGAGAGAAUGACAAGCUUCUCCUUGGAGAUAUGGGGACAGAAGGCCAAGAGGGACAAAACUAUUUGAAAUAAUUACCUUUAUCUGUGAUAAACAUUUUGAAUUCUGUUUAGAGGGCACUGUUAAAUCAUGAUGUAGUUUAAUAUAGUCUGAUAUGAUUGUACUGGACUUGAGAGUUAUUCCAUGGCUCUUUCAACCUGUUUAACAUUCUCGUUCACCACUGGGAGAUGCUGUGAUUCUUGGGCAUGACUAAGGGAGGGAGGGCACUAUAAAUUACAGCUGUUUUUCUCUGCAAUUAUGACCAAGUUAGAAUUCAUUAUAACUCUAUGUGUCUGUAAUUGUGAGUAGUUUUAAUUUACUUUGCUAGUCUCUUUUGUUUAUGUGGUUGCUCUAUUAUUUUACCUAAUCCUUUCAGAAUCUCCAUGAGGGAAGGUCUUGGGUUACUCCUCUUCCCAUGAACAAGACACUGAGGCACCAAGAAUUUGUGAGGUCAUAAUCAGUACCCAGAAGCCACACUUUCAACUGUGACCCUACAGUGCUUCUGUCACAAGUAGGGAACUCCACAGAACAGGAAUUGUAGACCCUAAAAGGCCAAAUUCAUUGAUAUGAUAGUUUCUGCUGCUCACUGAGAUAGCAUGACUUGAGCCCUGUGUCUAUUUCUGUUGCCUUCCCCAGAGUGAGAGAUCAGGAUCUGAAUCUCAUCAAGAAAACAAACAACAAAUGCUGGCAAGGAUAGCUCUCACCCCUCACCAAAGAAGCCUCCUUUCUGCAGCAGAUGGAGACUGUUACAGAAAUCCACAACAGCUGAGUUGUUCUUUGUGCCCAACCCCAACCGAUAUAUCUACGACCAACCCUUACACCGAAGGCUCAGGGAACAUCAUGGAAGAAGGGCCAGAAAGACUGUAAGAGGCAGAGGACCAGGACAUCAGCUGUGAGAUAACAUAUGCUGUGUAUGCCAGGGAAGCCACAGCCAUGAAGUUACAAAGAUACAGUCACCCAAAUAAGAACCGCACAAGAUACCAGUUGACAUUUCAACAUGGAUGGGGAAAUUUCACAGGGCCCUAGAUGAAGAGCUACAGGGAAUUAAUUAUUAUAGGCAGCUAUUUAUAGAUAAGUUAUUUACAGUUAAGACCCCCCCAUAGGCUAUCCUAAGUGGUCAGCCCUAAGCAUAUACACUUAUGAGUGAACUAAGUGGACUCAGCAGGAUAAAAAUAAAAUAAAUAAAUACAUUGUUA